UUGUAGUACAUGCUGCUCAAAACCAGACCUUAACUAAUAUAAAAUCGAAAGUUGUAUUCCGGGUCAUAUUUUUGCAGAAUGCCAAAAAAAACUAACCAAUUAGUGGUCCAGGUCAGAUGUCAAAAUGGUCAUGUGAUCCAGCAAAACGUUGUAAUGUUUUGCUAAAGUGACUUUUUGUGAUGUGUUGUGACUCUGUUUGUGGUUUUAUAAUGAUAUUCAUCAAUUUUUUUUCUUUUUUGCCUACCACACUGGUCUGUUUUUGGAGAUUAAAAGUUCGUGAAACAUAAGAUCAAUUUGGUGUGGCCUUACUAGUAGCCCAGACUUCCGUUGAAGCUCAAAAGAUGAGCAAUAUACUCAGGUGUACCCUACUCCCCUGCGUACUGGCAGUGCCCACAGCCUCUCUGCCAGUUGGAGUUAUGGAUAUUGCUGGCGCCACUGGCGGUGGUAGUGUGGGUGUGGCCAUUGAGCCGCACGUGCUUCCUGUGUGAGGCUCCAGUGGACGUCAAAUUUAAGCCAUGUGGUCACACUGUCAUGUGUGCACAGAGAGCCAAGAAAUGCCCAUUUGCAAAGCUGCAGUCAAGAUUAUCUCCAAGCUGUCCAAGGUUUGUGUGAUGUGUAAUAAAGAGGAGGCCACAGCCACUAUCAAGCCAUGUGAUCACACCUUCUGUCCAGGUACUGGUACUUAAUGAUAGGUACAUAUACCACUCAGAAACAGCCUCUCUGUGUAUUAUAUAAGCCCCCACUAUUGUUCCCUUUGAGGUCGUUGUGAAUGAUUUUUACAUUAUCAUUGUGAGAAUAAGAAAAAACAUGUGUAUACAUGUAGCUAUUAACCAGCUUCUCAGCCCCAAAAUUAUAACAGCGUGGCCACUGCAGUGAAGUACUGUACAGGUAGUUAGCUGUAUAUACCAUAGAUGAUACAGUACUAUGGCUGUACCAAUACAUGCUGCAUGUACAAUUGUAAAAGUAGCAGCAGAAAAGAGCUAGGCUGGGUGUAUAUAUAUACAACACUAGGCCAUGUACUCCAAGUGACACUUUGGUUUCUGGUCUUAAAGUUUUUCUAAUUGCAUGCGGGCGGGCGGCUUUUCUCAUUAUGUCAUUACCUUAUGAAUCUCAUUAUUUUGCAAAUGAAUAUCAUUAUCACACUAUUUUGUACCACAUGGACCAUUCUGCGCAUGCGUAGUAGAAAUAAUGAGAUAGAAAUCCAAGAAUAAAAUCUGAUGCGGGCGGUGGACCAGAAACCAGAGUAUCACUUGGAGUGGCCCUAAGGUGAGGAGAGAGAGUUGACAUAUCCGCGUCAAAUAAUUAUCUUAACUUGGAUCUUGGCCCUGCAUGAUUCUCUGAUUCUCAAGGAGCGGCAUGGAUUCGAUUCGUGAUAGAUGCAUGUACAUGCACCGUCCACCUACCACCCUCCUCAUCACCCAAUGUCCUCCGCCCACAAUCGGAACGGCUUCCCACAUCCAUGCACCCGUCCUUUCAUCGCUCCCCAUGCAUGGACCCAAACCACACCUACCCAUGCAUACCAGAUCAGCCUGUAUCGACUGUCUCUGCAUGUGCUACUUAAUUCUUAGUUGCAUGCUGCUGUAUGUUAAAACACUUCAAAGUGAAAAAUUGUAAUAAUUAUAACAAGCUUUCUUCUCUAUGCAGGAGGUGUCCCCAAUGGCUGCCCUGUAUUGAUGCCACCUGGCUUCCCUCCCACAGAGAUGUCCAGACUUGCUCUCAAACUGCCCUUCUCGGUGCUAUACGAGCUGACGGUGAAGUACAGCCGGUGACCGCAGGUCUCGGACUACCUACGAAAAUUUCAGCGUCUGCACUUUCCUACACAACAAGGUCUUCUGCAUGUGCCAUUGCCAUUAGCAACCCGGUGCAGCACGGCACAUAUAUACACAGGGGGCAAGGAGUGUGUCAAAGUGUGUGACUCCAGCUGAAUAAGACGGGGGUAUACUCAAGACACCACUCUGAACAAUUAGGUCGUGCAAGUUGCUUCCAGAUGGCAGGACCCUGAUUAUGGGUAGGAGGACUAACACGCUCUACCCCUGGGACAUGACAGCUCUGAGUUGAACAAAGGAGUGUGUCUAAAAUAUAAAUGGCUUGUGGGUCAAUUCCACCCAUUAUAGCUAUAAUUAUAACAAAAGCAAAGGCUUAGGCAGUUCGCUCCUAAAACUAUAGGUGUUUAAUUUCUAUUCGUUUAUCUAUUGUAAAACCAAGCUUCUCACUUCAACCAGAGAUAUACUAUAUCUCUGCUUCAACCAGCAAUAUUAUCAAGGGAUAUGCAGUCCAACAGCACGGCCACUGUGAAUACUAUACGCGGCCUGAAUGUACUAUGUAGCUACAUGUAGCUGUAUACCCAUACAAUUUUGAAAGUGCAGCUGAAGUAGUCAAAAAAAGAGGCUGGGUACAAGACUAAGUUGAGAGAAGAGAGUUGACGUCGUUAAAUCCGAUUUUUAAGGAGCAGCUGCAUGGUUGUGAGCAGUGGACACAAUCCACCCACUUGUGUAAACCCUCAAACACACACACAGAUGGAGAUUGCUAAGAGAGACUGAAUGUUGUCUCU